rnacentral:rRNA from 1 species
GUCGAGAAUCUUUUGCAAUGGGCGAAAGCCUGACAAUGCGACGCCGCGUGAGCGAUGAAGGCCUUCGGGUCGUAAAGCUCUGUUUGCCUGGAAGAAAUCUUGUGGUCGAAUAGGCCGCAAAGGUGACGGUACGGGCAGAGUAAGCCACGGCUAACUCCGUGCCAGCAGCCGCGGUAAUACGGAGGUGGCAAGCGUUGUUCGGAUUUAUUGGGUGUAAAGGGCUUGUAGGUGGUUGUGUAAGUCGAACGUGAAAUCCUUUGGCUCAACCAAAGAACUGCAUUCGAAACCGCACAACUUGAGUUCGGGAGAGGAGAGCGGAAUUCCCGGUGUAAGAGUGAAAUCUGUAGAUAUCGGGAGGAACACCAGUGGCGUAGGCGGCUCUCUGGACCGAUACUGACACUGAAAAGCGAAAGCUAGGGGAGCAAACAGGAUUAGAAACCCGAGUAGUCC